GAGUUUGAUUCUGGCUCAGGAUGAACGCUGGCGGCGUGCUUAACACAUGCAAGUCGAGCGAAGCACUUAUCAUUGACUCUUCGGAAGAUUUGAUAUUUGACUGAGCGGCGGACGGGUGAGUAACGCGUGGGUAACCUGCCUCAUACAGGGGAAUAACAGUUAGAAAUGGCUGCUAAUGCCGCAUAAGCGCACAGGACCGCAUGGUCUGGUGUGAAAAACUGAGGUGGUAUGAGAUGGACCCGCGUCUGAUUAGGUAGUUGGUGGGGUAACGGCCUACCAAGCCGACGAUCAGUAGCCGGCCUGAGAGGGUGAACGGCCACAUUGGGACUGAGACACGGCCCAGACUCCUACGGGAGGCAGCAGUGGGGAAUAUUGCACAAUGGGGGAAACCCUGAUGCAGCGACGCCGCGUGAAGGAAGAAGUAUCUCGGUAUGUAAACUUCUAUCAGCAGGGAAGAAAAUGACG
rnacentral:rRNA from 1 species